CUCUCUCUCUCUCUGAUUAGUGCUGUACUUCUUCCCCUACCCUUUUAUCUAUAUCUCUAAAUUCAUCACCUCCUUUGAGUGUCUCAUAGUUUCUUCUUUACUGUUCUUCCCUUGGAUAUAUCAAGCAGUAAUCUUGUUGCCACAGAAUCAUACUCCCCUUCCUUCAAAUCCACUCCGAGCUUGGUUUCAAGACCGGGAAAUUGGGUUUCGUAGCAGGACAUUCCAAUUUAAGCGAAUGGCUAACCCGGCAGUGGUUACACACGACGUUCACUAUACAGUUGUGGAUAUAAAAAAACAGCGAGUUAGCUGCAAUUAUUGUGGAAAGGAGAUACAAGGUUCUUCUCGUCUUAAGGAACACUUGGGAGGAGUACCUCCUGAUGUAUUACCUUGUCUCGAAGUUCCAGAGGAUGUGAAGGUACAAAUGAAAAAUGACGUAAUGGAAAGAAGGAAAGCAUAUGCUAACAGCAAAUUUCUUAAAUCGCUCCAGUCGCAUUCUCUACAGAAGAGGAAGUCCAGCUCCAACAACCCCAGUAACCAAAAAGACAACCUACAAUUGUCAAGGACCAGAAAGCACUGCACUACAAUUGUGUCUGGAAUAAGAAAGAAAGAUGAGAAGGCACAGAGUUUGAUUUCCCCCGAAAAGUUGAAUGCACAGAACACAGGGAUGAUUGAAAAACAAGAUGAAGAUAAGUCAUCCAGGAAAAUCCAAAGGUGUAUAGGCAGAUUCUUUUUUGAAAAUGGUAUAGACUUUAUUGCUGCAAGCUCGCCAACUUUCCAGGAAAUGAUACAUGCUUUUGUUGGACGUGGAUCAGCGUUGUAUAAGGUGCCUAGUUGUAAUGAUCUCAAGGGGUGGAUUCUGCAGGAAGAACUGAAGGCAUCACAAGAGUAUGUGCGAGAAGUUGUGCACUCAUGGGGAAGCACUGGAUGUAGUAUAUUGCUGGAUGGGUGGAUGGAUGGGAAAGGGAGAAAUUUGAUUAAUUUUCUGAUUGAUAGCCCACGGGGUCCCAUAUUUAUGAAAUCUGCUGAUGUGUCAGAUAUUUUAGGAGAUGUGGUUGCCAUGAUCACAUUGUUAACUGGUGUUAUUGAGGAGGUUGGGGUGCAGAAUGUUGUUCAGAUUGUUUCAUAUACUACUCUUGGUUCACUGAGCACAGUGGGCAAAAAGUUGACGGAGAAAUACGGGACUAUAUCUUGGACUGUUUGUGCAUCUCACUGCAUAGGCCUCAUCUUGGAGAAGAUAGGAUUGCUGGAUCCUUGGAGAGGUGUACUUGAUAAGGCAAAGGAUAUUACAAAGUUCAUUUACACCCAUGAGACAGUUUUGAAGCUUAUGAAGAAACACACUUCUGGGGUGGAGCUAGUCAGUUCUAGGAGGAUCAGGUCGCUGAUGCCAUUUCUAAUACUGGAGAGAAUCGGGUCUCAAAAGAAUAAUUUGAAGAUCAUGUUUAGUUCGUUAGAAUGGAAGAGCUCAGCCCUAGCUUCAACAGCUGAUGGAACGCAUGUGACUGAUUUAGUCACUGGAGUGUCGUCUUUCUGGACUGAAGCCCAGAUGCUUUUGAAGGGAAGUCUUCCACUCAUACGUGCUCUGCAUCUAAUUAGUGGAGGAGACAGUAAACCCCAGUUGGGAUACAUAUAUGAAACAAUGGACCAAGUAAAAGAGACGAUUAAAGAGGAGUAUGGAGACGAGAAAACUAAAUAUCAGCCUUUCUGGACAGCAAUUGAUGGGAUCUGGAAUAACCAACUCCAUAACCCUAUCCAUUCUGCUGCCUGCAUUUUAAACCCGAGUCUCCUUUACUCAUCUGAGGACGUCGACGAAGAUAAUGAGAUUAAGGAUGGGCUUUCUCGCUGCAUUGAGGGAAUGGUAAAGGAUAAUCGUGCUCGAUAUUUAAUAUUGUUACAGUUGGAUGACUAUUUAGUGGCUAAGGGUGCUUUUGGCGAGGCGGUUGCUACUGAUCAAAGAACAAAGCUUUCUCCAGUGAAGUGGUGGUCCUUGUAUGGAGGUCAAUGCCCUGAAUUGCAAAGUUUUGCUAUGCGAAUUUUGAGUCAGACGUGUACUGGUGCCUCAAGAUAUGGUCUGAAGAGGAGUCUAUCUGAGCAACUACAUAUGAAUGGAAGGAACCCUGUAGAGCAGAAACAGUUGACUGAUCUUACAUUUGUUCAUCAUAAUCUCCGGUUGCAAAAUGCUGUAUCUAUUUCAAUCACCGAUUACAGAGAUAUAUUUCUUGAAGAGAUGGAUCCAUUGGAUGAAUGGGUUGGCGGAGGAGAUGUUGAAAGAGUAAGCAGCUUAGCUAAAUGGUGAUUAAAUUAAGUGUUUCUGAUAAGGGAUUUGAAUUUGAUAUCCGUUGGAAGUGCAGUUUGCUGGUUGUUCUGGAAAGGUUGAUAUGAGCUAUUUUCCAUUUUGAUGAAUAUAGUUCUUGAUACUCAAAGGUUUUAUACCCACUUAAGGAUCUGUGAUUAGGUGCAAAUCCUCUUUUGGCUUUUCCCCUUUUGCAUUGAAGCUGCAGAAGUCAUAACUCAUCAAAAUGCAUCGGAGCGUAACAUGUAAGAAGUUCUUUUUGCCGGAGAUUGCAAAUGAGAUCAGUUUUGUCGCUUUUCAGUCGGCCUCAGUUUAUGGAGUCACAGCCCUGACGGGUCUCUUCUUAGCUGUUGUAACAUGUUAAAAACUCAAAACACCAAUAGAUGUGAUUGAAAAUUCAA